CUCUCACCAGGUUGUAUCGCCUCUUUCAGUUUUUAAAAUUUUUCUCCUCCUCUCUCUUCUGUUCGCUCUGGAAAAUGGAUGGCGAAUAAGAAUGUGACAGAAUCUGUUUAUCGGCGAAGGUCGGAUUUCUUAGUAGUUGUACAAAAGCAUUUUGUAGUGGAGGGAUGCUGAUGUUGGAUUCUUAUUGUGCAACUAUUUUGGAGCAGAUAAAUAUUGACAAUUAAAUCUCAAAAUUGAUGGUUUAGUUGUUACAAAGUGGAGUUUAUGUAAAUGGAAGGAUUUAAAUUAACAAAUUUCUUUGCCAUUGUCACUCUCUUCACAAAUCUUUUGCUCCUUAGGCAUCCUUUUUUCAUUUGGCAAGAGUUGGAUUACUUCUUUUGGUGCAUUUUUUCUAUAUUUAUAAUGUUGUGAUGCUGCUUCUAUAGUCUCUGUUACUAACGUUAGUGUGCCUCCUCUUUCAGGCAUUCGGUCAGUUCGUUUCUUGCAAGGUUUCUCCUAUACUUUUGUUGCUCCUUUUUCCUUUUUGGCCUUCACUUCUGGGCUUUUUUGUAAGUUUCUUUAUUUAUAGCGCAAGUUGCUUAUGAUGUCUGCUCUCAGUCUGGCGAGUUUUCUCUCCAUUGUUCAUAUUAUUGACACCUAUUUGUUGGUAGUAUAAAUUUGAUUGGUGUAUAUUAGUUUUCCUAUUCUUUUCAAUAAUGUUGUGCUGGAUUUUCUACAUGAAUAUCAUGAUUUGCCCAUGCAUGUUUGGUAAUAGAUGCAUAGGUGCAUGUAAGUGCUUUCUCUUUUAGGAUCAUUAAAUUUGCUUCUAUUUUUCUGUUUAACUUUAAAAUAUUGCAAAAAAUCAUAAACUGAAUGUUAGUGUUUGCACUGUUUUUUUAACUUUGUUGGUCGUUCAAGUGGUACAAUAUUUAUUAAAAAAAAUCGUUGGAUUUUCUCUUUAAGAUUAUUUUGUUUGUGCAUGGAGGUUAAAAUUUUGCUUUUUUGAGUCACUUGUCUCCGAGGAGUGUUCAUGCUACUGAACAGUACCUCAUUCAGAACUGACACUGACACUGACACUGUUGUAUAUACGUACUCUUCUUAAGUGUUGCCAGUUCUGAUGAUUAAUACUUCCAUUUAAGAUGUAAUAAUAUACUUUCUUUCAAGAAAUCGAACUUGAAAUCAGUCCCCAAGUGUGGUUUUACAUCUGAAUGAAUGACUUGAACAUGAGGUUCUUUAAUUUUGCGUAUUUAUCCGGUACUUUUGAAAUCUUUCUAAGGUAAAAAAGAAGAAAAAGGUUCAAAAGUAGCAGAACUAUUGAGAAUUAUCUCUUUGUUCACUUAGAAGACACUGGUGACAUCUUAUUUUCUCGAUAUUUUGGGCAAUUAGAUACAUAUAUUGUUGUGAUACAUUUGGAUUUCUUCUCUGAUCGUUUCAUCUUUUUCCCAUGUUGUUCUGGUAGAUUUUCCUGUGGACUGUAUCUUAAAUUCACCAUGGGUUGAUUGGCACGCGUAUUCGCUUGAACGAGGUAUUUUCAUGUUCGAAUCUAUGGCGUGUUACAUCAAUGUCUAAAAGUCAUCACCAAGAGCUCUCUCAGUAGGUUUUAUCCUUGCAAGGCGAUUGGACUUCAGACUGUAUGACCUCUCUACUACUCAUGGAGUUGAUUGGUGUCUGACACAUCCCAGCUGAUUGGAAAAAGCAUGAAAGGUAAGUCACCGACUUGCAACAAUUGAAUAGUAAUUUUAUUUUCUCUUUGACAGGUAGACAGGGAGUUUACCUGUAUCUUAUUCAUGCAUGUUUCAUGAUCAAUGCAACUGAUACCAGGUAUAACAAAAAUUUGUCUUUGGAUAUGAUUAACCAAUUCCUAAUGUAAAAUUCUGUCCAAAGAUCUUUAGUGUGUUUCGUCCAGUACUUGGAUGAUAAUUUAAUGUAGGUAUUGGCUUCUUGGAGCUUCAACCUUCUGAAAUUGCAGCGGCAAUGGCUUUGUCUGCCUCGGUCUUUCGAGAGACAUUGAAAGGCCAAUACAGUUGCCUUCUUCACAUAUGUACAAGUUGUACAAGACGAACUUUCUGCUUUGAUUCUUGAGGAUACGGUUUAUUCUUUAAUUUAUUUUUGGAAUUAAUCACUCAUUGAUUAAUAUUAUUCUAUUUUAUGUUUAUUAUUAUUAUUA